rnacentral:rRNA from 1 species
AUUAAACGCUGGCGGCAUGCCUUACACAUGCAAGUCGAACGGCAGCACGGGGCAACCUGGUGGCGAGUGGCGAACGGGUGAGUAAAGCAUCGGAACGUGCCCUGGAGUGGGGGAUAACGUAGCGAAAGUUACGCUAAUACCGCAUAUUCUGUGAGCAGGAAAGCAGGGGAUCGCAAGACCUUGCGCUCUGGGAGCGGCCGAUGUCGGAUUAGCUAGUUGGUGGGGUAAAGGCCUACCAAGGCGACGAUCCGUAGCGGGUCUGAGAGGAUGAUCCGCCACACUGGGACUGAGACACGGCCCAGACUCCUACGGGAGGCAGCAGUGGGGAAUUUUGGACAAUGGGCGGAAGCCUGAUCCAGCCAUGCCGCGUGAGUGAAGAAGGCC